rnacentral:rRNA from 1 species
CCCUUAGAUGUUCUGGGCAGCACGCGCGCUACAAUGGUCUUCGCAAACGGAUGCAUUCUCGAAGGAGAAUGCCAAUCUUGGAAUCUAUGCCUUGGUCGGGACAGUUGCUUGCAAUUUUUCGACUCGAACCAGGAAUUCCUUGUAAUCGUGAUUCAUCACAUCACGAUGAAUACGUCCCUGCCCUUUGUACACACCGCCCGUCGCACCUACCGAUUGAAUGUUUCGGUGAAGAUUCCGGAUAGGACUGAUUUGAUUUAUUUCAUUUCUGACCUAAAAGCUAUCUAAACCUCAACAUUUAGAGGAAGGUGAAGUCGUAACA